GUGGAUGUACAGAGAGAACACAGAGAUCAAAUAGGUUUCAUCUAAUGUAGUUUACUCCUGCAUUGGCUUUAUGAAGAAAACACCCCAGUCAAAUCCCUGCCAGGAAUUAGGAAAACACCUUUUAAUUGCCUCUCAUCAGCAUACAGGAAAUUGGCCCCGGCUGAUCCCUGUCGAUGGCCCCCGGCCCCCCGCCGGUAAACUCUCCUAUCCCAGAAUGAGCCCCCACCCUCCUGGCGUAACAGCCAAUAAAUCGCUCCCCGCGGACCAGCAGCUCAGUGCUUUUCACACUGCGGCUCUCAGGGUCACGGGGUCACCGGGAUAAGAUGGCAAUUUCAGGUCGAAGGGUUAUAUCAUUUUUAUUUAUUUUUUGUAAAUCCCUUGAAUUUUUCUGCCCUUCAUGUGGAAAAAGGGGGUUGAGCUGAAGCGGGGGAAGCUGUUGGAGAUCCAAAUCUUGUUUUCUUGGUGAUUUUAUAUAACCUGGUUUGACCCGGAUCAGGGGAAUAUGAUGAUGUAAGAAAUGGUGACUGGAGUAAAACUAAAAUUAUUUUGACUUUGAAAACUUCCUAAAACCUCUUUGAAACCAAAGAUAUUCUACCAUUGUGUGUACUGUGGAACCAAUAUCUUAAAUUAUUCUACCUGGUAUGUGCAUGUGCAACCCAGCACCCUGUAAGUGAUCCUCUUAUAAUCAAGUCUAUUUAAUAAAAAAAUUAUAUGAUAAUGAUAUAAAAAGCUAGUUAUUUAUUUACCUCCAAGGUAGAAAACACUUCCGUAUAAUCAUGCAAAUAUGGGAAUUUACCAACAAGACAGAAGAGUGCUUUGAGGAAAUACAUAACAUUAAAGUUGACAUAUUUUUCUCCUCUGACUGCACAUCAAAUUGGUCAAAAUGUGCUGACGAGCAGUUUAAUUUUGACUAAACGUCUCUUUUCACACUUGUGCCAGAAUGAAUGAUGUGAGCCUGUGUUUGGGAGGUUAAGAGAUUAGAGAUUUCCUCUCAUUGCAAAAGUUGCCUCUGAUCCUGUUAACGCCCCCCCCCCCCCCGCAAUUUGCCCACACCACUGCCAGAAGAAGUGGGUCAAAGAGCCGAUGAGACAAUGACAACGGGUCCUACUAAAAGAAGACUAACCACCCUGCUCUCCUCACCUGUGAACCUAAACGUGCUGCAACGAAAAUAUACAAAAAGUUCUGUUUUGGUGGACCAAUCCGCAUCGUCUGUAUCCGUGUUCAUUCCCCGUGUUGUUUGACUGUGAAGGUUAACAGCUCCGAAAUCGCACCGAAGCUGAGCGUGAAACAAAAAACGCCUGGAUAACACAACGCUUGGUUUCCAGCGCCACUGCUGUGUAGUAAAUACAGCCUUAACCCCCAAUGGGAUCUACGUGAUGCAAGACAAUGUUAUCAGUACACAGUGCAUGGCUGACAUCAGAGGCACUUUACUUCAUGUAUUUGCUGAUUGUAGCCAUGCAUUUCCUGCACUCUUACGCUUUCAAAAUGUCCUUUUAAUAACUGAGGUGUUAAUCAAGAAUAUAGAGCAAAUGACUCGGUAUGUGAUGUUCAAAACAUCGGUGGCAUUCAUCCUGUGGAAACAUACACAUACAACCUUAAUUCCUGGGUCUCAUUAUUUAAUUCUUCUAACUUUUGAUGCCUGCAAUUACACCGUAAGGGAAUGAUAACCAAUCUAAUGUGGUACAGUUUCAAUAAGGUUGGUAAUGGCACUAUGAUAAAUAAAAUCCAAAGUAAUUACUGACCCUGCACAUUCAGUAAGUUAUCGAACCGCAUUGGGCAUUACAAGGCAUUUUUGGGAUGUUAUAAUGGAUUAUAUUAUAUUAAAUUACCAUACACACAGUGCACAUGCUGCACUAUAUUAGAGGGGAAAAGAGAAAUAACUGGGAUCCACAAAACCUUUUAAAAAGGAAAUACCCACAACAUAUGGCUUCAGCAUAUUCUUUACAGUUGGCUGUCAAUUGUGAAAUUGUUGAAGCAGACGCCCGUGUUAAACACAGCGUCCUCCAUUGUUAUCAGUGGCAAGUCUUUUCUGCAUUGAUUCUACCGUUAAUUAAUAUGAAUUCAAAAAAGAAAGAACUUACAGAGCGUGCAUGUAAUCUAUAGUGACUGUCAAAUAGUGACAAUCACCAGUCUGUGUUUUCGACCUUAUUCCCUCACCAGGUAUGUGACCCACCUAGACCCUGAGCAUCCAGUGCCCCCCGCAUAGACCCCCAGCCACUCAACUGACAUCACCUGGUGGAGUGUGAGAGGCUGAAAACUUGAAAUGGUGUAAAUAUGAAUGAAACAGCCCUUUGCUGCCACAUGUCCUGUCACCGUGACAACGUCAAAAAUGAUCAUUUACAGUCCUGUGUAUUUUUUUCAUAAUUGUCUCUCUCUGAUUUGAAGAAUGCUUGAAAUGAAAUGUUUGCAUGAAUAAAUUAGUACACUUUUUUUAACGUCACAUUGCGAUGACUCGUGGGUAAUUCCUUUGGGUAACGUCAGCGUUGGCUGCAGAAAUGUUUCAUAAAAGGGCUCAAAAUGUCUGCCAGAGAGCCUCAAACGCUCGGCAGAGCGACAGGACUAAACCCUGGUGGAGUUAGAGGCCUCAAAGUGUGUGAGUCAACAAGAGAUGACAAUGGGACCGGGCCUAACAGGCUGGCUGCAGGACUGAGGACCAAAACAGACAAAGUACUGCAGACAUAAAAAGAUCUUCUGUCUCUCCUCUGAUAAACUUUGCAUUGAAACUCUGCAUUUUAACACAUAAUGUAUAACGGCCACAUUCUGAUUCAUGUAUUUCCAAAAUGGCUUAAUUUCAGGUUAUUGGUGGUUAUUAGUGCAGCAAUCCAAGAGGGAGACAGAGAGAUAGACAGGGUGACCAGAUGCAACCAGGCGGGCUGUGCGAUCGCACGUCUAAUUGGUAUUUCAGGAAGGACUCGCUUGACAGUGUGUGCCGAGUGCAAGAAGAGAGCGUCAGCGUAUCGUACGGCUGCUGUCAAUAGUCUCAAGACGAGGAGAGAAGAGGAGACUGCAACGAUUAAGCAAUAUUUUAAAAUGAUGACUUUCUGUGAUUUUGAAAAGGUUUCUGCCCAACUGCAUAAUGUGUGCAGAGGCAAUCAGGAGGUUUUCUGUUAGCGAAUUACACUUAACGCUAAUUAAAUGUGUUCGAGCAUCGGCAGUAAAGUGCUGAUGGAAUCACAGCAUCUUUUUGUCACGGUGAUGCAAAAAAGGAUACAAGGGAUGGGCUGUAAAGCACGAUGGGGAUUUUAUUAAUAAAUACACUAAACAAAAAUCAUUAAAUUAAAAAUUCAACAAGCAGCCAGUAUGGACAACACAUGAAAAAACAGGAUUAGGUAAUUCAAAAAUGUGCACAAGGGUUACUAACAAAGCAAGUGGGCCAACAACCAGCAGACAGAGUAAAUAAACAAGAAACCAAUAACUCACCCAGACACAAGGGCAGCCUGAAGGCUGAUUGGUGGAAGACGAGACGAGACGAACGCAACACAACACGGGGGAUCACAGAAAGAAGGGAGGAAAAAACCACAAACACAAGUCAAACAACCAGGAGAAGAAAGAAAGGAAUCUCAGAUAUAAAACAAGACACAAAAUCCAAACCGAGAUUUGUGACGGUUUUAAUUCUUGUUUAGGAUUAACGAGAACAAUGAAGUAAUAUUUGUCGUGCUUUAAGUGCCAUCUCUAGUGUUAAAACGCCCUCAUGUAGUUGCUACUUUGUCAUUCUAAACACAGCGGGCGAGUUGGAGCAGGGUGGCUGAUCUCAGAGCUGCAGAGUACAAACCCUUUUGUUGUAAUUUUCUUCCUAACUUGUUUUGAUCCUCAACUACCGCUUCCUCUUUUUUGAAGUCUCAUAUCAGAGUGUGUGAAAUACUGGAAUUACACAUACAACAUUAAAAAAAAGAAGGUUUAGGAGAUUUGAGCUCAACGGUAAACAGAUGUUGUUUUUGGAACUCGAUUAAAUAAUUAAUUGUCUGGGUAAACUUGUGGUUGCCAACGGUAUUGUUGCUGCAGGAAAUGAGGUUCCAAAAUGUUUUCUACAUCCAAUUUAAACCAAACACUCAACGCAAGUGUUUUCUCCCUGAAGGGUAAUAGAAAUAGAUGCAUUCUCUUUUGUGCCGUUUCUUUCCUUAGUUGGCCUCCACUCCUGCAAAAUAAAACAUCCUUUGAAUAAAAAAUAAUGAAUGCACACAAACACACCCACACAGGCCUCACCAAACGGUUGCGAAUAUUACCUCUUCUGUGAUUACUGGGACAAAUUUUAGUGAAAUACUGACUAAAUAAUCCCCCCAACCUGCCAGCCCGUAUGUAUGUCAAAAUGUAACGGAAUCACGACUUCGGCAGUGUCUCCUUGUUUCCUCCGAGGACGACUCAUCACUUUGUACUUUGCUCUCAGAAUCUGAGGCGGAAGGCUGCAACAGUAAAAACGCAUCGUCAAAGGUUGUGUGAACAGUUAAAGAAAUAGCCCGCUUUGGGUCUUGCUUAUUGAAGGGGAUGGUUACUAUGACUAAUAGAUUAAAGCUCAAAUCUUUACUACCAUGUUGUGACAAAGGUAAGAUAAUAGAAAAAAUGAACUUGAUUUCAGAUAUACGACACCCAACUCUUGCUCCACAUCUAUCAAUAAGUCCCGGGAACAAACGCUCCUCAAUGAAAUUUCUCCAACAAGCGUGUGCUGUUGAGAUGUUAUGAUGGAUGCGCGUGCUCAUGUGGUUUUAUCUACACCCUCUGUCUUAUCAGCCUCAAACAGCAGGAACUGCAGGGGCGAGAGCCGCCAUGUUCCAUCAUCCUGGUAUUCCUGCUCUCCAUUCCGAUGCAAACUGAAUUUCUUUUGCUCGUAUUUCUCCUGGAAAGUGACGGUGUGAGGUCAUUGCCAGGAGAACAACACGUUGUGUCUUUUUAUAAUGAUGCAGCAUUGUCAAUUAAAUGUGUGUAUGCACCUUGGAACACCGGACUGCUGAGACCUUUCCGCAAAUCCUGACCAACGCAAACCUUUCACGUGCGCUUUAAAGCUGCUGUCUGUAACCUUAAGUGGUCGUGUUGAUGCAGCGACAGGGAGCGAUUUUAAUAUCGCACCUCGUCCUGUGAACCUGCAGACGUAUAGUCAAGAGUGCUGAUGAGUACUUUUCGGUGCUCAAACAUCUGCUUUUUUUCUCACAACCAAGUAGUUGUGAGAAAAGUGUGCAUGAAAUCAAAUGGACUGAAAUUAAGAGUGAAACCGAUCUAAAGUAAAUCCCAAUGUGUAAUAACCUAAACGCAAUAUGUGAAGCAACGGUUGGGUCAAUUGAGCUGUGUUAAUUAUUGACAGCUCAGAUUGUGGGCAGAAGGGGAGAUGGAUGCAUUCUGGUCAAACGGGUGCUGUUCUGUAUUGGUGAACUGGAAAUGUCUCCACUGGGUUCUUGUUUCAUAUUAUGAACUUAAACGAACCUCACAGCAGCAAAGGAAAGCUUCUAGAAAUGAUCCCUGAGAGGAUUAGAGAGACGUUUCCUUCUAGUUGUGCGAGUACUUUCCCAUGAUUUCUUUUAGAGGAGCAACUCUUUUUCAUCGUUAAAUCAUUUUGUGUAUCAAAUUUAAAAAGGAAGGAGCAGCUUGCCUUGACACAGUUUCUUGGAGGUGCGUGUAGGUGUUUUUUCUCUACCGUUUAGAGAGAAACAGGCUAAAAAAGUGAAGAAUGAUAUUUUAUUUGGUUAGAUCAGCUGCGUGUAGAGUGCAAUUGGUCAGUAAAUGAAAUGUGGAGAUUUUUUUGGGUCCAUUUUAGGGAUUUACCAACAACAAGCAGCUUUGCUUCAAAGGCAUUUCUAAGACUUACAGGAAAUCAGUGAAAGGGCUUCAGUAACGUUUGAUUAUUCUCUGUGUAAAAGCUUAUGGCUCAGGAAGUCCUCAUAUCUCAGCUGAUUAAGAAGUAGGUUAUACAACAGAGAGCUUCUGGGUUUGGAUAAGGUUUAAAUUUCAUUUCUCUAUGAGCUUUGAAGUUUAACAGUGCAGAGAGUCGGUGCUGGACUCAAAGAGAAUGGCGCAAAUAUAAAAAUUCAGAUCUGCCAUGAAAUCCAUGGAAGAGAAAUGCUUUGCUCAUUUGAUAAAAUAGCAAAAUAUGUAAAGCAAGACAAUCCUUUUUUGUCCAGGAUCAACUUUAGAAAUAUGACACAAGAAGUUAACUGACCCACCUUUUAAAUUGAGCCCUAUCAUAUGAUUACUGUAAAGUGUGUGUGUGCUCGUCGUAGAGUUGAGCAUGUUAGCAGUUUGCUAAGAGCACAAACAAAAACUGGGAAUGUUAUUAGUUUUUAAUUUAUUUAUAGCGCUGGGAAAAUGUACUCAUGAUGAACAUCAGCAAAGUUACAAUUCAUCUUGAGAAGAACUGUUUUAUGAGACACUUCACUCAAACAACAAAUAAUUACUUUCAGUGGCACUCGAGGAAACAGCGCUGCACCACUGAAGCCACGGCAACAUUAUCUGCGGACCUUUAAUACGUAAACCAGAUUUCAUGGCCCAUCUUCUGAUCUUGGUUCUAAAAUGCUGUGGCAGAAGAUUACCUCGUCACAGCAGCUCUCGCUUUUAUUUUUACACUAUUACAUGUCAUUUAGCCGACGCUUUUAUCCAAAGUGACUUACAUUAAGUGCAUUUCAACCAUAACAAUACAAACCCAAGAAGAACCAGAAAUAAGAAAGUGCAAUUUCAUCAAAUGGGCAGAUUUACAACUUGCUAUAGAUAAGAACCAUUAUAAGACCAAUUUAAGUGCUACAAUUCGUUUAGUGCUUUCACGCCUUUGUACCGAUACGAACGAUAUUUGGCUGUUAGGACUUUCUUCUGGUGUCAGCGCUUUAUUUUAGUCCUAAGUUUCGUUAAUUCUGAACCAAAGUGUUGCCUUGCCGACCACACAAUGGAUGGCAGCCAUCCACACAGCUUUGUCUGUGGCGCGGCUGAGAAAAAGAAUAUUGUAUGGUGGCGACGGCCCAAAACACAAAUUACUUUACCAGUAAGUCGCUUUGGUCGCAUGUUUAGAGGCAAUUACGCAAAUUGCAGCCGGCUGGCAGUUUGUGUCACAAUGGCUUCUGAUAAUAACUUCACCUGCUCCUUCGCAUUAACAUCAGCUUUGGUGUUCUAAAAAGACUUUACUCUUAUCCGUUUCAGACUUUCAGCAUUCCAAGGCUCCGUAGCUUGUUGGGAAUCCAACACGUACUGUAGGAAACGUCCCGUAUACUCUUCCUAUUUCAGCACCCAGAAAUAGAAACACCCGUCAACCCGAUGCACAAUGUAACCUUGUCUCUCCCUGCAGGUCAGGUAACGCAUUUCUAGUUUGUGUGUUGGUACAUCCCACAAAAAUGUCAGUGUAAAAAAAAAAAAAAAAAGCGAAAGAGAGAGCACAUGAAUUAUUUAUCAUCUCCUUCCUGCUACAUUCUGAUUGCACACCGCUGAACUCCUAUUUCCAGCCAUUUACAGGAGCCCACAGUUCACGGGCUCUGACCAAAGAGUUUGGUGAGCAUUUACCUGGCUCAUUACCCGUCGCCCCGCCGAUCCUGUUCUCUGGCUCUCCGUGUCCCGAACAGAGAGGCUUUUUUUUUUACAUUCUUUUCAUUCAUUUCCACCUCUGAGAUGAAUAAAACAGAAGACGGAUGUGGGAUACUGUUGUACUACGACGGGUGCAUUCAAAUCUGGGAUGUAAUUGUGAAUCUCGGACAUUCCCUGCCGUAAAUUUGGGUGCAUCUUCAAAUGCACAACUUUUUCUCAGCAUCCUGAAGAGCUUGCAUGAAGAUGUAAGGGUGCAAAAUGUAAUUACUGCGUCUUCCUGCAUUUGUAUCCCAUGUGGGACAAAAGGUGCUGUGGUGGAGGCGAUGAGAUUCUUCUGGGUGAUCGCUUUGAAUUCAAGAGGCAUUUAGCAGAUAAAGCUAUUUAAUACGUGGCUAUAGAUAAUUAUGUAACUGUAUCAGGAAAUAGGUUGACAUGUGAUAGUAUAGAAAUAUGGAGGAGAAACUGGUGUUUUAGGCAGCAUGGUGGAGCAUAGAAAAGGAAAGUUUGAUGCAGGCCAUCGACAUGAAACAUAAAGGCCAUAAAGUUGGCACAGCAAGGCAUUAAUAAUUCAUCGACCCGCACAGCCGUAUUCUACGGUUUCUUGCUCUGUGGCUGAACCGACUUCGUGUCAAUACCGGAUGCCAGUACACACUAUUCAUUCAUGCAUAGUGCAUUUCCUGCUUUGUUAAGGAAUAAUGAACACACAAAAACCUGCAGCAACCUUAUAACAGGUAUUUGUGCAUUAGUUCAACAUCAUUUAAAAAGAACAAAUCAGAUAAGAAUCCAGUAAGUCAAAAACAACUAUUUCCUUUAGAAUCUAGAAAUAUAAUUAAGCAACAAUCUUAACAUAAAGAGGCCCAUCAACAUUUUUGGCAAAACUGACCUACUUUUUAUCUUUCUUUUUUUUCCCCAAGUCCACCUGUUGCAAAUGUUCUUGUUUCACACCUCGCUGGGAAAACAGUUUUUCACACCUCGAUAAAGGUGCCGGUGUACUUCAUCCAAAGUACUCGACAGAUGAUUUGAACACUGGCUGGCACCUGUUUUUUUUUUUUUUCAGAAAUAGCUUUUUUAAAAUAAUUUCUCAAGGAAAUCUUCAAAAGUUUCACAUACAACUAAACUGCAUUCUAAAGUACUUUAAAGAAAGUAAGGUCAUUCCAGGAUUACAGUCUUCAUUUUAGACACAUAUGUACCUAAUGUUGUAAGUUUAAACAGAAGACGAACCCAACAGAAAUAGCACGGUUCACUAAAACUGUUGUGGUUAUGGACGUAAAUUAAACCAUUGACUCCAAAAGCGAGUCCCACUGGACCAAACUUUAACUGUGGCCAUUUGAAAUACCUUCAAACCUUUAGUUAUUCUCCCCAUCCAUCAUCCUCAGAAAUAACAAAAUAUAACCUUUGUUGGAGUAUUAUACUAGUAUUUCAUGAUUGACAGCCAAUGAAUUGCUUAAAUUCUUAGUGCUUGUCAUUCAAGACUGUGAUUUUUGAUCAAAACAAUCACAACAAAAUUAAAGUUGCAGGAUGGAAUAAUCAGCCUAAAUUGUACACUUAGACUGUUUGAUUACAAAGGUUUGCACUACUCACCAGGAUGUGAGGUGGCUGAUGGUGUUUUCAUUAGCUUUUAUGCACGUGGGGGUUUGUUAUUACUUGUCUUAGUUGGAGAGAAGAUCAUUGCCAGAAAUUAAAUUACUUUUGCCAUCAGCGACGGCCGCAGGUUUGAGGGAUUAUGGAAAUAACUUUCUCUCGGAAACCCAAAAUAUUAGAAGUCAUUUAGGCCUCUUUCAAGAUGAAUGGCUGUGCAGAGAAAAGAGCAUCCGCUCGUACCACGCGGGGCCAUUCAGAUUUAGUAGAUGGAAGCGUGUGUGGGAUCAGCAACACCGCACAGCACAUUAAACUGGCUUUAAUCAUUGCAGCAACAAUCUGUAAACACAACACUGCUAAAUCCUUCCCCCAUACAGAUUUCUGGCAAAGUAAACAGUCUACACUAUUUAGGAUCCACAUCAAGCAGACUGGUGCUUUGGGCCACCUCAUUAAUGCGAGGCCCAAAAUUCCCCUUUAGCUCGGUUUUUAGCUCCGUCGGCUCCUGGGAAAACUCAGUGACCUUUAUUCACCAGUUUGGCACAAUGUGGAUAUUUUUUUAAAGUUGAUCCUCAGUCAUUUGUCCAAAACAGUGUGUGUUCAACAAACAAGUGUUCAAUACAAAACAGUUAAAGGAAAUAACGGGCUAAUGUUUCUAAAAUGUUUCUAAAUAAGUGUGGAAGUAAUGGAGUAAUGGUGGAAAGAAACUUAGCUCAACAAACAGACUGGGAGUAGGCUGAAGCUAAUCCAACCAUCUCCAAAUAACCAUCUUGAUACUAGUGGUUAUUGAUCUUUAAUGAAAACCCUCAGCAAUAAAACAAGUUUUCUGAAAUAUCAAGCUAUUAAUCUCCAGCGCGGCCAACGAAGGUGAAGCGUGUUUGUCAAGUGAAGCCACAGACCCAAAUUGUAACGCAGCCGUUCUUAAGAUCAGAGAUCUUUGCAUGAUUAUUCGACAUUAAGGCCCUGAUCAGCUAAAAGUCCAAUGUUGUAUUUUUCGAGCCGGAGAGAAGCGGUAAUUCAGUGUGAUGAAGUCGCCGUCCCCCAACCAAAAGGAGCAGAUUCUCUGGAAUGAAUAUUAUAUCUCCAUUGACAUUAUGCACAAGAUGAAUCGUGUCUUUGUCCUGAGAAAAUGAAAAGGAUGCAGCAUGCAAGACGUCCGAUGUAUUUGUUUAUGUAAAAUGUCAAAUUUCCUUCAUCUGCUCGCAGUCUCACAGCAGGAAGCAACGGAUUGUAGUUUCCUUUCAUGAAUUUAAGUGUGCUUCAUCUCAGAGAUGCGAUAACUGUUUUUUAUUAAAAGGACAUUUUGACCUGACAAGUGCAUUUCAAAAGGCCGAGGACAGGAUCAUUCAUUGUAUUCAUCUCGCUGCAUCUCGAGUCUGGGUGUUAAACCAUCAUGCUGAUGCUAUGAUAUUGAUGUACUGAUUGAUUGUGUUUCUGUGAGAAAAUGUUGGUUUCAAUGUGUGUUCUCUUUAAAUUAAAGCAAAUUUAAGAUUGGCAGCACAUUUGUCUGCUAUCAAUAUGAUUAUGCAUAUUGAUCAAAUGGAUUUGCUGUGAUUGGUUGCUGCCAAUCUUCUCUUCUCCACGCUGUUUUAUUUCACCGUCACUUCCCAAUGUCACCUAUUUUGAAUGUUUUGAGUGCUUUUCACCUCCUUUACUUUAAUUGGACAGUAUAAGUCUUCCAUUUAUAUUAUUAAGUAAAAACACUGUUAAUGGUCUUUGAAGGUGUGCUGUUUAAUUCAUUAAUUUGCUAAAUGUUAAAUAUUUAUGGUAAAACCUUGAGAGGACAUGGCUAAUUUCUUGUUAUGGUGCUGCCUGCAUUCUACUUCGCUGUACUCACACAAAUACAUUAUUGUGAUCAUUACCAUUGUCAAUACAAAAGAAUAUUGAUUAUCGUUGAUUCAAGUGGAUGUUAAGUACCUGUUCAAAUAGAAUGUAAAUGUUACCGUUUUUUGUGCAAUGUAAACAUAGCAGGGAGAAAACCCAAAGUGGAUCUCUUCUUUCCCCAAAUGAAAAGGUUACAACUGUUUAUACGCCACUACGUCACUAACUAAGAUGAGCUGAGCCAGUGAGCGGCAGAUUGGAGUUCAGUUGGACGCGGCCUCGUCGCCCUCCCUUUUUCUCUUCUUCAAUCAUCACUUGCACAUUGGCUUCAUCAUUUCACUCAUGAAUACCUGAUCUCCGAUGUAUCAGCCCUCAUGGCUUAAUCAUGGCCGACAUUAAGCUCUUCUGUCGGUGCCGAAGGUUAAUAUUGCCAUUAAGAAGCUGUUAUUCACCAGCAGGACCCUGAGCUCCUCCCAGUUCGCGCAGAAAUCAACAAGUCUCCCCUGCUCUUCAAGGAUAAUUAGUCAAAGUUGUCUUUUAUGCAGUGACCAGACAUUUUCAUGGUGCAGAAUGCUGGAAACAAGGUGGAGGAGAGCAGGGAAAACAGUGAAGUUGCAUGUGGAAACAACGAGCUGAUGGAGGCUUGGAAGCUCCGGAUUGAAAGAUAAACCGUGCACAUCGGGCCUUCUUUCUCCAGUAAAACUUCUCCAGCUUGGUGGGGUUUAGUGGCUCAGCUGUAUGUUUGUAAAAGGUCACCCACAGGGAAAAAGAAGAGAGGCACAAAUUACACAGUUAGUGCAAAAUAUAUUGAGUGGUUUAGCUUGAAAUCCUCAUAUGAAAAUGCUUUUGGUUCCGAUUCCAAUUAAAUGAGUGAAGAUUAAUAAUUGACAACUAUAUGCCAUUUAAGUGUCUGCUAAACACCAGGCCUGUAUGAGCUGUGUAUUUAUUCUUGCCAUUGUAAAUAAACAACCUUACAUUGUUUGGUUGCAUCUUUAUUUUGUUGCUGAUAAACAUGGAACGAGUAAUUGGUAAGAGCUCAACCGUAGAAACGGAUGCUUCCUUUUAAUCCCCUUGUGAUUGGUAAUUUCCUCAAGGCUUGCAGCAAGAACUAUAUAAUUACAGUUAGGCAAAGUUAUUCAGUUUAAUAUAUUGAGUUAAUAUUCUUUAUAUAUAAUAUCACAUUUUCUUAAAAAGAGGAGUUCCAUUCGAAGCCAAUUUAAUAAUAAAAACUCCAAUAAUGUAUUAUUAGAUAUUGCCUCAUUUUCAAAUAUUCAAUUUACUUUACUCGCAUAAAGUAUAAGUUACACCUGGUCAGGAACAGACUCAUGGUUUUCAGCACUUGAAUGCAUAAUGUCACUUUUGUCAUAUCUUAUUAGUGUAAUUGCUUUGUGCACGAGUUCCGUCCUCCUCACACGUUGAAGAUCUUUGGCUCGAUGACAACUUGUUAAUUUGGCCGUCCUCUCAGCCUUCAGAGAUGUCUCUCCCAGUGUAAAUUACCAAAAGGAGCAGAUGUUCUUUGUUAGCACUCAUUUCAGCACCUUGUCCUUGAAACAAAUCCCAUCUGAAUAAAGGGAUUUAAUCUGCUCAACCGCUGGCACUCGGCUUGUUGCCACACCACUGCCUAUAUGGGUCAUUACGUUGCACACGUUCAUUGUGAUUAUAUAGAACAUUGUGCCGGGUCAAAGAAGAAAAAAAAAGAUGAUGAUACUUCAAGCUGUGAUCAAGAAGCAUUUUAGUCACCUUGAAACCUGCAUUCACAUGUGAAACUAAUGUUGAAACUACUGAGAGUAGUUUACAUCUCUUUCCGUUUCCUCAGUGGUUUAAUCUGUUGUCCCCCCCAAAACGCAGUCUAAAUUUCGGAAGAUAUCUUUAAGGAUCCCCACGGAGGACAGAAAGAAGGAACCCGUCAAAUGAAACAUUUAAGCCUCCCAGUGAUUUUAAGUUGCACACAAACAAACAAGAACGAGAUCGAGCAGCGACUUCAGCCUCGCAGCUGCUCUGUGUGCGCGUACAAGUCACAGCACUACAGUGAGGGAGAAAUCCAGACGGGGCUCCGCAUGCCUCAAAUCCUAAAGGGUUUCCAUCACGGUUGAUGCUGUUUUUGAUCAAAUACAAACUAGUUUAAAAGGCAGCUGAGGGAUGUCAGCUUUUAAACUCUGCAGGCCGUCUGUGUCCUGCAGCGCUGCCGGCACUGCAGGUACUGUGGUGUGUAAAAACUGUCAAUAGUUACUGCGUUGUACUAUUUGAGAUAUUAAUGGUCAGUUUCACACAAAUUUAAUUGGAACGAGUAAGAAAGGAUCACGUUCAGUGUUAUUUUUGUCAACAACUGCAUUAAUGCAUAAAAAUAAAAAAUCUUGCACUAUUUUCAUUGCAGUAUUUGUGUAAUCAUAUUUACAUUCAUAUCAGUAACAAAAAUGAAAUUUUCGGCAGAUAUACAUUAUGAAUGUGAAUUUAUUAAAAUAUUUAAGUCAAUUGUGUGGCUUGGAUGGGAUUGCAUGACAUCAUAAGCACAAUUCAUGUAGCUCAUAAUGUCACAGAAAGACGCAAGUAUUCAUAAUAAAAUGACAACAAAACAAAAUGCAGAGGCCUCAGUCACAAUCGUAAAAGAAGAUGAAAAGAUC
ensembl:lncRNA